rnacentral:rRNA from 2 species
GAACGCUGGCGGCGUGCCUAAUACAUGCAAGUCGAGCGGACUUGAUGGAGUGCUUGCACUCCUGAGAGUUAGCGGCGGACGGGUGAGUAACACGUAGGCAACCUGCCCUCAAGACUGGGAUAACUACCGGAAACGGUAGCUAAUACCGGAUAAUUUAUUUCACAGCAUUGUGGAAUAAUGAAAGACGGAGCAAUCUGUCACUUGGGGAUGGGCCUGCGGCGCAUUAGCUAGUUGGUGGGGUAAUGGCUCACCAAGGCGACGAUGCGUAGCCGACCUGAGAGGGUGAACGGCCACACUGGGACUGAGACACGGCCCAGACUCCUACGGGAGGCAGCAGUAGGGAAUCUUCCGCAAUGGGCGAAAGCCUGACGGAGCAACGCCGCGUGAGUGAUGAAGGUUUUCGGAUCGUAAAGCUCUGUUGCCAAGGAAGAACGUCUUCUAGAGUAACUGCUAGGAGAGUGACGGUACUUGAGAAGAAAGCCCCGGCUAACUACGUGCCAGCAGCCGCGGUAAUACGUAGGG